UAAACAUUAGAAACUAGUCUAUGGUCCACUUGAUUCCUAGAUUGCUUCCAAAAUUAGUUCAUCAAAUCUAGGGGUGGACGAUAUGGCCCUAAAAACAAUAUCACGAUAUUUCCGGGUAUUUUUACAACAGUGCAGGUGCAGGUGAAUUAUGGGAGUUGUAGUGAGGUCUGAUAAUAGUGGGUGCAGGUGAAUUAUGGGAGUUGUAGUGAGGUCUGAUAAUAGUGGGUGCAGGUGAAUUAUGGGAGUUGUAGUGAGGGCUGAUAAUAGUGGGUGCAGGUGAAUUAUGGGAGUUGUAGUGAGGGCUGAUAAUAGUGGGUGCAGGUGAAUUAUGGGAGUUGUAGUGAGGGUCUGAUAAUAGUGGGUGCAGGUGAAUUAUGGGAGUUGUAGUGAGGGCUGAU